CCUACGGGUGGCAGCAGUGGGGAAUAUUGGACAAUGGGGGCAACCCUGAUCCAGCCAUGCCGCGUGUGUGAAGAAGGCCCUCGGGUUGUAAAGCACUUUCAGUGAGGAAGAACGCCUGGUGGUUAAUACCCAUCAGGAAAGACAUCACUCACAGAAGAAGCACCGGCUAACUCCGUGCCAGCAGCCGCGGUAAUACGGAGGGUGCGAGCGUUAAUCGGAAUUACUGGGCGUAAAGCGCGCGUAGGUGGCUUGAUAAGCCGGUUGUGAAAGCCCCGGGCUCAACCUGGGAACGGCAUCCGGAACUGUCAAGCUAGAGUGCAGGAGAGGAAGGUAGAAUUCCCGGUGUAGCGGUGAAAUGCGUAGAGAUCGGGAGGAAUACCAGUGGCGAAGGCGGCCUUCUGGACUGACACUGACCCUGAGGUGCGAAAGCGUGGGUAGCAAACAGGAUUAGAUACCCGUGUAGUC
rnacentral:rRNA from 1 species